rnacentral:rRNA from 1 species
UGCAAGCGUUAUCCGGAUUCACUGGGCGUAAAGCGCACGUAGGCGGAUUGUUAAGUCAGGGGUGAAAUCCUGGAGCUCAACUCCAGAACUGCCUUUGAUACUGAAGAUCUUGAGUUCGGGAGAGGUGAGUGGAACUGCGAGUGUAGAGGUGAAAUUCGUAGAUAUUCGCAAGAACACCAGUGGCGAAGGCGGCUCACUGGCCCGAUACUGACGCUGAGGCACGAAAGCGUGGGGAGCAAACAGG